AUUGAACGCUGGCGGCAUGCCUUACACAUGCAAGUCGAACGGCAGCACGGGUGCUUGCACCUGGUGGCGAGUGGCGAACGGGUGAGUAAUGCAUCGGAACGUACCCGGAAGUGGGGGAUAACGUAGCGAAAGUUACGCUAAUACCGCAUAUUCUGUGAGCAGGAAAGAGGGGGAUCGCAAGACCUCCCGCUUUCGGAGCGGCCGAUGUCGGAUUAGCUAGUUGGCGGGGUAAAGGCCCACCAAGGCAACGAUCCGUAGCGGGGCUGAGAGGAGGCUCCGACACACUGGGACUGGGACACGGACCAGACUCCUACGGGAGGCAGCAGUGGGGAAUUUUGGACAUUGGGCGCAAGCCUGAUCCAGCCAUGCCGCGUGAGUGAAGAAGGCCUUCGGGUUGUAAAGCUCUUUCGGCUGGGAAGAAAUCGCAUCUCCUAAUACGGGGUGUGGAUGACGGUACCAGCAUAAGAAGCACCGGCUAACUACGUGCCAGCAGCCGCCGUAAUAC
rnacentral:rRNA from 1 species